AUGAACGCUGGCGGCGUGCCUAAUACAUGCCAGUCGCGCGAACAGACGAGGAGCUUGCUCCUCUGACGUUAGCGGCGGACGGGUGAGUAACACGUGGAUAACCUACCUAUAAGACUGGGAUAACUUCGGGAAACCGGAGCUAAUACCGGAUAAUAUAUUGAACCGCAUGGUUCAAUAGUGAAAGACGGUUUUGCUGUCACUUAUAGAUGGAUCCGCGCCGCAUUAGCUAGUUGGUAAGGUAACGGCUUACCAAGGCAACGAUGCGUAGCCGACCUGAGAGGGUGAUCGGCCACCCUGGAACUGAGACACGGUCCAGACUCCUACGGGAGGCAGCAGUAGGGAAUCUUCCGCAAUGGGCGAAAGCUUGACGGAGCAACGCCGCGUGAGUGAUGAAGGUCUUCGGAUCGUAAAACUCUGUUAUUAGGGAAGAACAAAUGUGUAAGUAACUAUGCACGUCUUGGCGGUACCUAAUCAGAAAGCCACGGCUAACUACGUG
rnacentral:rRNA from 1 species